CAUGUCCUUUUGAAUAUAAUUUAAGGUCUAAUCUGCUCAAUGAUUAAUUAAAUUGCCGCAGUAUUUUGACUGUGCGAAGGUAGCAUAAUAAUUAGUUUCUUAAUUAGAAGCUAGAAUGAAUGAUUGGACGAGAAAAUUGCUGUCUCUUUAGGAUUGUUUAUUGAAUUUUAUUUUUAAGUUAAAAAGCUUAAAUUUUAUUAAAAGACGAGAAGACCCUAUAGAGUUUAAUAUUUAUUUUUUAUUAAUAAUUAGAAAUAGUUUUGAAAAUUAAAUAUUUAGUUGGGGUGACUUAAAGAUUUAUUUAAUUCUUUAAAUAUUUAAUUGUUGAUAAAUAAUUUUUAAAUCUAGUUUCUUAAAUUUAAAAUUAAUUACCUUAGGGAUAACAGCGUAAUUUUUCUUUAAAGUUCUUAUUGAAAGAAAAUUUUGCGACCUCGAUGUUGGAUUAAAAUUAAUUUUUGGUGCAGUAACUUAAAAAUUGGGUCUGUUCGACCUUUAAAAUUUUACAUGAUCUGAGUUUAAACCGGUGUAAGCCAGGUUGGAUUCUAUCUUUAGUUUUUUCAUAUAUUUUAGUACGAAAGGACCAAAUAUAUAUUAUAUAAUAAUUG
rnacentral:rRNA from 1 species